rnacentral:rRNA from 2 species
CAACUUUCAGCAACGGACCUCUUGGCUCUCGCAUCGAUGAAGAACGCAGCGAAAUGCGAUAAGUAAUGUGAAUUGCAGAAUUCAGUGAAUCAUCGAAUCUUUGAACGCACCUUGCGCUCCUUGGUAUUCCGAGGAGCAUGCCUGUUUGAGUGUCAUUA